rnacentral:rRNA from 1 species
UACGAAGGGGGCGAGCGUUAUUCGGAAUCACUGGGCGUAAAGCGUGCGUAGGCUGUCUAGAAAGUUGGAAGUGAAAGCCCAGGGCUCAACCCUGGAAUUGCUUUCAAAACUACUAGACUCGGAUUUGGGAGAGGAUAGCGGAAUUGUCAGUGUAGCAGUGAAAUGCGUAGAUAUUGACAGGAACACCAGUGGCGCAAGCGGCUAUCUG